CUCUCUAGAGGUUGUUUGGAAUUCUUCAAUAUGAAGAAUCCUAGCCCCUCUCAUACUUAAUUACAUGCUUCUUUGGUACUUUCUCCUCUUGUUUAUACUUAUUGAGGAUUUUCUUUACCUAGAUUUUACAGAAGAAUGGAUUUAUACAUUGAUGGAAGGAAUCCCAACAAAUGUAUUAAGAAAAAGAGAAAAGACUUCCAAAAUAUUUGGUUCAAAUCCCUUGCAUAUCAACAUCACAUCGAAUCAAUGAGUUACCAGAUUGUAAUAUUGUUGCACCUGACUGGAGAAAAGAAAAUCAGGAAAGCAAAAACCUCACUAGGUUCAUUUUCAUCUCUACAUGAGAACCCUACUGCUACCUACCUUAGUCUGCUUACCUCCAACAAUUUCAGAUCACUAGCAUUGCCGGUCAACUUGCUCUGCCCGCUUUCCAAAGAAGCGUUGGAUUUUCUCAUGUAAUUAGUGUUGGAUUUUCUCAUGUAAUCAACGUUGGAUUUUUUCAUGUAGGGCUGUUAUAUGUUGGAUUGUACAUAUGAGAAUUUUAUUUACAUAUGAGAUUUUACCAUCUAUGUA